CCAUGCAAGUCGAAUGGGGGCCCUAAAAUCCCCAUGGCGAACUGCUCAGUAACACGUGAUCAACUUACCCUAUGGAGGUAAAUAACUUCGGGCAACUGAAGAUAAUAUACCAUAAUUGAAAAUGCCUGGAACGGUUUUUCAAUUAAAGAACAAUUUAAAUGGAAAUUGUAUCGCCUUAGGGUAGGAUCGCGCCCGAUUAUGGCUGUUGGUGAGGUAACGGCUCACCAAACCUUUAAUCGGUAAGGGCCGUGAGAGCGGGAGCCCUGAGAUGGGUACUGAGACAAUGACCCAGGUUCUACGGAACGCAGCAGGCGCGAAACCUUCACAAUGCACGAAAGUGAGAUGAGGUUACCCGGAGUGCUACUAAGUAGCUGUGGCAGGUGAGUAAAAUUCCCUGCUAGGAAGGAGAGGGCAAGGCUGGUGCCAGCCGCCGCGGUAAAACCAGCUCUUCAAGUGGUCGGGAUUUUUAUUGGGCUUAAAGUGUCCGUAGCCUGUUUAGUAAGUUCCUGGUUAAAUCGGAUAGCUUAACUAUCUGUCUGCUAGGAAUACUACUAUACUAGGGGGCGGGAGAGGUCUGAGGUACUCCAGGGGUAGCGGUGAAAUGCUAUAAUCCUUGGGGGACCACCAGUGGCGAAGGCGUCAGACUGGAACGCGCCCGACGGUGAUGGACGAAAGCCAGGGGAGCGAACCGGAUUAGAUACCCGGGUAGUCCUGGCUGUAAACGAUGCGUGCUAUGUGUUGGUAUGGUUAUGAGCUGUAUCAGUGCCGUAGGGAAACCGUUAAGCGCGCCGCCUGGGGAGUA
rnacentral:rRNA from 1 species